GGUUCUAUGGUGUAAUGGUUAGCACUCUGGACUCUGAAUCCAGCGAUCCGAGUUCGAGUCUCGGUAGAACCU
rnacentral:tRNA from 3 species